GGCCAAAGGAACGUAGUUCAAGAC
rnacentral:miRNA from 1 species